rnacentral:rRNA from 1 species
GGCGUAAAGCGCGCGCAGGCGGUGACCUAAGUGUCGUGUGAAAGCCCCCGGCUCAACUGGGGGAGGCCACGGCAGACUGGGUCGCUCGAGCUGCGGAGAGGCCCCUCGAAUUGCCGGUGUAGCGGUGAAAUGCGUAGAGAUCGGCAGGAAGACCAAGGGGGAAGCCAGGGGGCUGGCCGCAUGCUGACGCUGAGGCGCGACAGCGUGGGGAGCAAACCGGAUUAGAUACCCGGGUAGUCCACGCCGUAAACGAUGACCACUCGGCGUGUGGCGACACUAAUGUCGCGGCGCGCCCUAGCUAACGCGAUAAGUGGUCCGCCUGGGAACUACGAGCGCAAGCUUAGAACUCAAAGGAAUUGACGGGGGCCCGCUCAAGCAGCGGAGCGUGUGGUUUAAUUCGACGCUACACGUAGAACCUUACCCAUACUUUACAUGACGGGCUAGACGGCGGAUACGUCGUCGCCUUCGGGGUCCGUCACAGGUGCUGCAUGGCUGUCGUCAGCUCGUGUCGUGAGAUGUUGGGUUUAGUCCCGCUACGAGCGCAACCCCUGCGGUUAGUUACACGUGUCUAACCGGACUGCCCUUCGGGGAGGAAGGCGGGGAUGACGUCAAGUCCGCAUGGCCCUUAUGUCUGGGGCGACACACACGCUACAAUGGCGCCGACAAUGCGUCGCUACCGCGCAAGCGGAUGCCAAUCGCCAAACGGCGCCCCAGUGCAGAUCGGGGGCUGCUACUCGCCCCCGUGAAGGCGGAGUUGCUAGUAACCGCGUAUCAGCCAUGGC